rnacentral:rRNA from 1 species
AUACGUAGGUGACAAGCGUUAUCCGGAUUUACUGGGCGUAAAGGGCGUGUAGGCGGUCUUGCAAGUCAGAAGUGAAAUUCCUGAGCUCAACUCGGGCGCUGCUUCUGAAACUGCAGGACUUGAGUGCUGGAGGGGAUAGCGGAAUUCCUAGUGGAGCGGUAAAAUGCGCAGAUAUUAGGAAGAACACCGGUGGCGAAGGCGGCUAUCUGGACAGUAACUGACGCUGAGGCGCGAAAGCGUGGGGAGCAAACAGGAUUAGAUACCCUGGUAGUCCACGCUGUAAACGAUGAUUACUAGGUGUGGGGGGACUGACCCCUUCCGUGCCGCAGUUAACACAAUAAGUAAUCCACCUGGGGAGUACGGCCGCAAGGUUGAAACUCAAAUGAAUUGGCGGGG